rnacentral:rRNA from 1 species
GACGAACGCUGGCGGCGUGCCUAAUACAUGCAAGUCGAACGCACUGGGGACGGGUGAGUAACACGUGGGUAACCUCCCAUCAGAGGGGAUAACACUUAGCAACAGGUGCUAAACCGAUACUGAUGGAUGGACACGCGGUGCAUUAGCUAGUUGGUGAGGUAACGGCUCACCAAGGCCACGAUGCAUAGCGGACCUGAGAGGGGUGGCGGCCACACGGGGACUGGGGCGCUGCCCAGACUCCGAGGUGAGGGAGCGGUAGAGAAUCGUCGGCAAUGGAGGAAAGGCUGACCGAGAAACGCCGAGGGAGUGAAGAAGGGUUUCGGAGAGUAAUACUAUGCUGUUAGAGAAGUGGUAUCUAAUCAGAAAGCCACGGCUAACUACGUGCCAGCAGCCGCGGUAAUUC